UACGGGGGGAGCAAGCGUUGUUCGGAUUUACUGGGCGUAAAGGGCGCGUAGGCGGCCAGCACAAGUCAGUUGUGAAAUCUCCGGGCUUAACUCGGAAAGGUCAACUGAUACUGUGCGGCUAGAGUGCAGAAGGGGCAACUGGAAUUCUCGGUGUAGCGGUGAAAUGCGUAGAUAUCUGGAGGAACACCGGUGGCGAAGGCGGCGUCCUGGACCAACACUGACACUGAUGAGCGAAAGCCAGGGGAGCAAACGGG
rnacentral:rRNA from 1 species